rnacentral:tRNA from 1 species
GUGUAGCUCAGGAGUAGAGUAUUUGACUCAGAUCAAGAGGUCCCUGGCUCAAAUCCAGCUGUCCCCU